ensembl:lncRNA
GGUAGCCUAGUGGUUAGAGUGUAGAGGAGGCAGGGUAGCCUAGUGGUUAGAGUGUAGAGGAGGCAGGGUAGCCUAGAGGUUAGAGUGUAGAGGAGGCAGGGUAGCCUAGUGGUUAGAGUGUAGAGGAGGUAGGGUAGCCUAGUGGUUAGAGUGUAGAGGAGGCAGGUAGCCUAGUGGUUAGAGUGUAGAGGAGGCAGGUAACCUAGUGGUUAGAGUGUUGAGGAGGCAGGUAGCCCAGUGGUUAGAGUGUAGAGGAGGCAGGUAGCCUAGUGGUUAGAGUGUAGGGGCGGCAGUGUAGCCUAGUGGUUAGAGUGUAGGGGCGGCAGGGUAGCCUAGUGGUUAGAGUGUAGAGGAGGCAGGGUAGCCUAGUGGUUAGAGUGUAGAGGUG